rnacentral:rRNA from 1 species
AUUGAACGCUGGCGGCAUGCUUUACACAUGCAAGUCGAACGGCAGCGCGGGCUUCGGCCUGGCGGCGAGUGGCGAACGGGUGAGUAAUAUAUCGGAACGUACCCAAGAGUGGGGGAUAACGUAGCGAAAGUUACGCUAAUACCGCAUACGAUCUAAGGAUGAAAGCAGGGGAUCGCAAGACCUUGUGCUCCUGGAGCGGCCGAUAUCUGAUUAGCUAGUUGGUGAGGUAAAGGCUCACCAAGGCAACGAUCAGUAGCUGGUCUGAGAGGACGACCAGCCACACUGGAACUGAGACACGGUCCAGACUCCUACGGGAGGCAGCAGUGGGGAAUUUUGGACAAUGGGGGCAACCCUGAUCCAGCAAUGCCGCGUGAGUGAAGAAGGCCUUCGGGUUGUAAAGCUCUUGUGUCAGGGAAGAAAAGGCUGUGGCUAAUAUCCACAGCUGCUGACGGUACCUGAAGAAUAAGCACCGGCUAACUACGUGCCAGCAGCCGCCGUAACAC